GAUGAACGCUGGCGGCGUGCUUAACACAUGCAAGUCGAACGGAAAGGCUCCUGCUUGCAGGGGUACUCGAGUGGCGAACGGGUGAGUAACACGUGGGUGAUCUGCCCUGCACUUCGGGAUAAGCCUGGGAAACUGGGUCUAAUACCGGAUAGGACGAUGGUUUGGAUGCCAUUGUGGAAAGUUUUUUCGGUGUGGGAUGAGCUCGCGGCCUAUCCGCUUUUUGGUGGGGUAAUGGCCUACCAAGGCGUCGACGGGUAGCCGGCCUGGGAGGGUGUACGGCGACAUUGGGACUGAGAUACGGCCCAGACUCCUACGGGAGGCAGCAGUGGGGAAUAUUGCACAAUGGGCGCAAGCCUGAUGCAGCGACGCCGCGUGGGGGAUGACGGCCUUCGGGUUGUAAACUCCUUUCGCUAGGGACGAAGCGAAAGUGACGGUACCUGGAGAAGAAGCACCGGCUAACUACGUG
rnacentral:rRNA from 1 species